rnacentral:rRNA from 1 species
UACGAAGGGUGCAAGCGUUACUCGGAAUUACUGGGCGUAAAGCGUGCGUAGGUGGUUUGUUAAGUCUGAUGUGAAAUCCCCGGGCUUAACCUGGGAACUGCGUUUGUGACUGUGGUGCUCGAGUGCGGCAGAGGGGGGUGGAAUUCCACGUGUAGCAGUGAAAUGCGUAGAGAUGUGGAGGAACACCGAUGGCGAAGGCAGCCCCCUGGGUCGACACUGACGCUCAUGCACGAAAGCGUGGGGAGCAAAC